AACACUUUGUCUCUCGAUUUGGCGAUUGCGAAAAACUGAUGAACACCUCAAAAUCAUCGCGAUUCCGAUGAUUCGACGCCGGAAUCGUGGUUUGUUUCUUUUACCUGCCGCCGGAAUCAUCAGCUGGAUUCACGGUAAAGACCAUCGGCGAAUGGAGUGAAAACAAAUCGAAGAUUGGCAAUGGAGAAGAAGGAUUCGUUGAAGGAUGGUCCAAUUUCUUGUUCCAGAAAUUGAGAAAGGUGGUGAUAGAUGAUGAGAGACAAGUUUAAGGAAGAGGGUGAUAGAUGAAGAUUUGCAAUUUUGGCUUGAAUUUUACUUCUCAAUCUUUGUCGCUGUAUUAGUAUACCGACACCAAGUUAUAGACAUUUAGUAGUGACUGUUUUGUAUUCAUGUUAAAGCUAGUGUAAAGUUAUAGACCUUAACUGAUCACAUGACACAUCACAAUUUGAUCAACCAUAGUUGUGGUAGAGGUAGAUUUUGAGCUUUUGGCUAAUUAUUAUGUAAAGUUUUGAGCUUUUGAUUGUGGGCUUGUGUUUCUUGUUAGUAAUUCGGUUUUCUCUGCUGAUUUGUGUUUGAUUUUGAUGGUAAUGGUAGAUUUUCGUGUAGAAUAGGAGUGGUUUUUGCUACUUGUUCUGCAAUCAUCUCUUAAUGUUUGUAUUUGUUGCAGAUGGAGCCUUUACCAAGUGGAAACCUUCCUCCUGGUUUUGAUCCGACUACUUGAUGUAGUGUGUGAGUGUGUUUUGAUUGCAAUAAUCUUUUUUUUUCUUAAAAAUCCCACUAGAGAACCUACCAUUGGACACAAAAAAA